rnacentral:lncRNA from 1 species
AAUCAUUUACGUUAUUUCUGCAGGAUUACUUAUGCUUUGUUUUGUUAUUGUGUUUUGUCUUGUCUUGGUUCCUAACUUUAUCUUUGUUUUCCAAUGCAACUCUUCAUUCUGUCCUAUGCGCCGAGGGUCGCUUGGAAGCAGCCUCUCUGCCGUUUUGGGUAGGGGUAAGGCUGUCUACAUAUUACCUUCCCCAGACCCCACCUGGUGCGAGUAUACUGGGUAGUUGUUGUUGUU